rnacentral:rRNA from 1 species
AUGGAGGAGAGGCUGAAACUAAGUCGCGACAGCACGACGGAGGAAGUGGAUGCUACGCAGUACCGACGCCUUGUGGGGAGCCUUCGCUACCUCACUCACACACGGCCGGACUUGGCAUUCUCCGUCGGCUAUGUCAGUCGGUUCAUGGAGCGACCAACGUCGGAACACCAGCAGGCAGUGAAGAGGAUCGUCCGCUACAUAGCAGGGACCCUCGACCACGGCCUCCAUUACCCUAGGUGCUCUGGGGCGGCACACUUCGUCGGGUACAGCGACAGCGACCACGCCGGCGACAUCGACACCAGCAAGAGCACGAGCGGGAUCCUCCUCUUCCUCGGCAAGUGUCUCGUGAGCUGGCAAUCAGUCAAGCAGCAGGUGGUGGCCCUGUCCAGCUGUGAGGCUGAGUACAUAGCGGCCUCCACCGCCUGUACUCAGGCGCUCUGGCUUGCUCGACUGCUUGGUGAUCUUCUCGUUCAAGACACCAGAACGGUGCAGCUCCUGGUGGACAGCAAGUCCGCCCUGGCCCUGGCAAAGAACCCCGUGUUCCACGAACGGAGCAAGCACAUCCGACUGAGGUAUCACUUCAUCCGCAGCUGUGUGGAAGAAGGGAGCAUCGAGGCGAGCUACAUCAACACCAAGGAUCAGCUCGCAGACCUGCUCACCAAGCCCCUUGGGAGGGUCAAGUUCCUCGAACUUUGCUCCAGGAUUGGGAUGAUUCAACUCUCCCACAAGACGACGUACAAGACUUAG